rnacentral:rRNA from 2 species
UACGAAGGGGGCUAGCGUUGCUCGGAAUUACUGGGCGUAAAGGGAGCGUAGGCGGACAUUUAAGUCAGGGGUGAAAUCCCGGGGCUCAACCUCGGAAUUGCCUUUGAUACUGGGUGUCUUGAGUAUGAGAGAGGUAUGUGGAACUCCGAGUGUAGAGGUGAAAUUCGUAGAUAUUCGGAAGAACACCAGUGGCGAAGGCGACAUACUGGCUCAUUACUGACGCUGAGGCUCGAAAGCGUGGGGAGCAAACAGG